rnacentral:rRNA from 1 species
GCAAGCGUUGUCCGGAUUUAUUGGGCGUAAAGAGCUCGUAGGCGGCUUGGCAAGUCGGAUGUGAAACCUCCAGGCUCAACCUGGAGUCGCCAUUCGAUACUGCCAUGGCUAGAGUUUGGUAGGGGACCACGGAAUUCCUGGUGUAGCGGUGAAAUGCGCAGAUAUCAGGAGGAACACCAUCGGCGAAGGCGGUGGUCUGGGCCAAUACUGACGCUGAGGAGCGAAAGCGUGGGGAGCGAACAGGAUUAGAUACCCUGGUAGUCCAC